ACGUAUUUCCGUCUGAGUCCAUGAUACCGAGCGCUUUUCUGCCUAGAGAUUUGCCUGCACAUUGCACCACGACAUUGCACCACAUAACACACACAUUACGAAACCAACAGUUAUUUUAAGAACUCCUCUCUGUCUGUCUGUCUUUGUCUGACUGACUGACUGAUGGUCUGUCUGUCUGACUGACUGACUGACUGACUGACUGACUGUCUGUCUGUCUGUCUGAAGGACCGUCUGUGUCCUUAUUUUCUCUUGUCAGGUAGGUUCACUGCAAUGCUUAAAAAAAAAUCAUAUUUCAUAUCCGGGUCUAUAAAAACAGUUACUAAUGCGCUAUAUUUGUGUGUGUUUCUACCCUAGAGUAUGUCUGAGAGAAAUAAAGAAGUUAAUAAAUAAAUCAUUCACUUGAAUUAGAGUAUGAUAAGGCAUAAUAACAGGAUUUGAAUAUCAACAUUUAAUGCAUGGCCUUACUCUUUGCAUAGUGCAUUCCAUUUUGAUAUAGGAAUUCUGCGUUGACAAUUAUCAAAAUAAAUGUAAUGAAAUACAUUCAUUUAUUCAUUCUUUGUGUCCAUUUGUUACCCACAGCUACUUUGAUUGACCUUGUGUUGCCUUCGUACAUGUGCGUGUGUGUGUGUGUGUGUGUGUGUGUGUGUGUGUGUGUGUGUGUGUGUGUGUGUGUGUGUGUGUGUGUGUGUGUGUGUGUGUGUGUGUGUGUGUGUGUGUGUGUGUGUGUGUGUGGGCCUAUGUGCGUGACAGGUGUACCACUGCUGAAAUUGACGGACCUGGAAACCGGGAACAGGGUUGCUUGCUAUGGGCCAGAAAAAUAACUUGAUACUUUGCCUUUGUCAAACAUUUAUGGAAGCUUUUUUUUUUUUCUUGAUGAAAAUAAAAACCAAUGAUGCAAAGUCUUCUGUCUUUGGUUUAUUUGACUUAGCUAAUAUAAUUGAGUGUACGAAAUAAUAUGUGUCUAUA